GAUGAACGCUGGCGGCGUGCUUAACACAUGCAAGUCGAGCGAACAGAUGAUGCGUUUGUUGCUCUGUCGUUAGCCGCGGACGUGUGUGUAACACGAGGAUAACCUCCCUGUAUGUCUGGUAUAAUUUCGGGACAGGGGAGCUUAUCCCGGAUAAUAUCUUGCACCACAUGGUUCAAUAGAGAGAGACGGCUUUUCUGUCACUUAUCGCUGCUUCUGCGCCGCAUUAGCUAGUUGGUAAGGUAACGGCUUACCACGGCGACGCUGCGUGGCCGACCUGAGAGGGUGAUCGGCCACACUGGAGCGGAGACGCGGUCCAGACGCCUACGGGAGGCAGCAGUAGGGAAUGUGCCGCAAUGGGCGAAAGCCUGACGGAGCAACGCCGCGUGAGUGAUGACGGUCUUCGGAUCGUAAAACUCCGUUAUGAGGGAAGAACAAAUGUGUAAGGAACUGUGCACGUCUUGACGGUACCUAAUCAGAAAGCCACGGCUAACUACGUG
rnacentral:rRNA from 1 species